UUUCUUCCUCUUCCACCUUCUGCCUCUCUCUCUCUCGCAAUCCUUCUCUUAACUCUUUCUCUUCUGUUUCCCAAAAACCCUAGCUGCGUUUUUGCCUUACUUCACCACCAUUUCAAUGGCGACAUCAUCAGCUCUUUCUUCACUCUCUUCUCUAUUGGAUCUGGCGUUGCCAAGAAGGUGAAAUCGAAAAGCAGAAAAGUCGAACGUGUUGGGGCCAGAUCUCCGGUUUACUUAGCUGCCGUUUUGGAAUACUUCGCCGUCGAGCUUGUAGUGAGAAACGACGAGGAGCCAAGCAAGUUGUUUGGUGAUGUGAUGAUUGCAAAGUGAGGAUUAAGGUUCACGAACUGAGGUUGGUGUGGUAGUGUGUGUAAAGCCGUAAAUAUGGAAACAUAUGAAGUUUUCUUUUUCACGCAAGACCCCCUUAUUCACUAAGGAUGCUCAAGGAUCUUCACCAUUAUUCAAAACAUUUACAAACAAACUUUAGCAGAAAGCAACACGAUUAUUAAUUUAUUAUAGUUAUCUUCGUUGUGUAAGGUUAAGAUACAUUGUCUGAUGGUUAUGGAAGCUUUCCAUUGUUUAAGUUAAGAAAAGGGCAUGUGACAUUGUAAACCAAAUCCAAAUAAAUUUCUGUUAGCAACA